rnacentral:rRNA from 1 species
UUAAGCGACUAAGCGUACACGGUGGAUGCCCUGGCAGUCAGAGGCGAUGAAGGACGUGCUAAUCUGCGAUAAGCGUCGGUAAGGUGAUAUGAACCGUUAUAACCGGCGAUUUCCGAAUGGGGAAACCCAGUGUGAUUCGUCACACUAUCAUUAACUGAAUCCAUAGGUUAAUGAGGCGAACCGGGGGAACUGAAACAUCUAAGUACCCCGAGGAAAAGAAAUCAACCGAGAUUCCCCCAGUAGCGGCGAGCGAACGGGGAGCAGCCCAGAGCCUGAAUCAGUGUGUGUGUUAGUGGAAGCGUCUGGAAAGGCGUGCGAUACAGGGUGACAGCCCCGUACACAAAAAUGCACAUAUUGUGAGCUCGAUGAGUAGGGCGGGACACGUGGUAUCCUGUCUGAAUAUGGGGGGACCAUCCUCCAAGGCUAAAUACUCCUGACUGACCGAUAGUGAACCAGUACCGUGAGGGAAAGGCGAAAAGAACCCCGGCGAGGGGAGUGAAAAAGAACCUGAAACCGUGUACGUACAAGCAGUGGGAGCACGCUUAGGCGUGUGACUGCGUACCUUUUGUAUAAUGGGUCAGCGACUUAUAUUCUGUAGCAAGGUUAACCGAAUAGGGGAGCCGAAGGGAAACCGAGUCUUAACUGGGCGUUAAGUUGCAGGGUAUAGACCCGAAACCCGGUGAUCUAGCCAUGGGCAGGUUGAAGGUUGGGUAACACUAACUGGAGGACCGAACCGACUAAUGUUGAAAAAUUAGCGGAUGACUUGUGGCUGGGGGUGAAAGGCCAAUCAAACCGGGAGAUAGCUGGUUCUCCCCGAAAGCUAUUUAGGUAGCGCCUCGUGAAUUCAUCUCCGGGGGUAGAGCACUGUUUCGGCAAGGGGGUCAUCCCGACUUACCAACCCGAUGCAAACUGCGAAUACCGGAGAAUGUUAUCACGGGAGACACACGGCGGGUGCUAACGUCCGUCGUGAAGAGGGAAACAACCCAGACCGCCAGCUAAGGUCCCAAAGUCAUGGUUAAGUGGGAAACGAUGUGGGAAGGCCCAGACAGCCAGGAUGUUGGCUUAGAAGCAGCCAUCAUUUAAAGAAAGCGUAAUAGCUCACUGGUCGAGUCGGCCUGCGCGGAAGAUGUAACGGGGCUAAACCAUGCACCGAAGCUGCGGCAGCGACACUAUGUGUUGUUGGGUAGGGGAGCGUUCUGUAAGCCUGUGAAGGUGUACUGUGAGGUAUGCUGGAGGUAUCAGAAGUGCGAAUGCUGACAUAAGUAACGAUAAAGCGGGUGAAAAGCCCGCUCGCCGGAAGACCAAGGGUUCCUGUCCAACGUUAAUCGGGGCAGGGUGAGUCGACUCCUAAGGCGAGGCCGAAAGGCGUAGUCGAUGGGAAACAGGUUAAUAUUCCUGUACUUGGUGUUACUGCGAAGGGGGGACGGAGAAGGCUAUGUUGGCCGGGCGACGGUUGUCCCGGUUUAAGCGUGUAGGCUGGUUUUCCAGGCAAAUCCGGAAAACUAAGGCUGAGGCGUGAUGACGAGGCACUACGGUGCUGAAGCAACAAAUGCCCUGCUUCCAGGAAAAGCCUCUAAGCAUCAGGUAACAUCAAAUCGUACCCCAAACCGACACAGGUGGUCAGGUAGAGAAUACCAAGGCGCUUGAGAGAACUCGGGUGAAGGAACUAGGCAAAAUGGUGCCGUAACUUCGGGAGAAGGCACGCUGAUAUGUAGGUGAAGUCCCUCGCGGAUGGAGCUGAAAUCAGUCGAAGAUACCAGCUGGCUGCAACUGUUUAUUAAAAACACAGCACUGUGCAAACACGAAAGUGGACGUAUACGGUGUGACGCCUGCCCGGUGCCGGAAGGUUAAUUGAUGGGGUCAGCGCAAGCGAAGCUCUUGAUCGAAGCCCCGGUAAACGGCGGCCGUAACUAUAACGGUCCUAAGGUAGCGAAAUUCCUUGUCGGGUAAGUUCCGACCUGCACGAAUGGCGUAAUGAUGGCCAGGCUGUCUCCACCCGAGACUCAGUGAAAUUGAACUCGCUGUGAAGAUGCAGUGUACCCGCGGCAAGACGGAAAGACCCCGUGAACCUUUACUAUAGCUUGACACUGAACAUUGAGCCUUGAUGUGUAGGAUAGGUGGGAGGCUUUGAAGUGUGGACGCCAGUCUGCAUGGAGCCGACCUUGAAAUACCACCCUUUAAUGUUUGAUGUUCUAACGUUGACCCGUAAUCCGGGUUGCGGACAGUGUCUGGUGGGUAGUUUGACUGGGGCGGUCUCCUCCUAAAGAGUAACGGAGGAGCACGAAGGUUGGCUAAUCCUGGUCGGACAUCAGGAGGUUAGUGCAAUGGCAUAAGCCAGCUUGACUGCGAGCGUGACGGCGCGAGCAGGUGCGAAAGCAGGUCAUAGUGAUCCGGUGGUUCUGAAUGGAAGGGCCAUCGCUCAACGGAUAAAAGGUACUCCGGGGAUAACAGGCUGAUACCGCCCAAGAGUUCAUAUCGACGGCGGUGUUUGGCACCUCGAUGUCGGCUCAUCACAUCCUGGGGCUGAAGUAGGUCCCAAGGGUAUGGCUGUUCGCCAUUUAAAGUGGUACGCGAGCUGGGUUUAGAACGUCGUGAGACAGUUCGGUCCCUAUCUGCCGUGGGCGCUGGAGAACUGAGGGGGCUGCUCCUAGUACGAGAGGACCGGAGUGGACGCAUCACUGGUGUUCGGGUUGUCAUGCCAAUGGCACUGCCCGGUAGCUAAAUGCGGAAGAGAUAAGUGCUGAAAGCAUCUAAGCACGAAACUUGCCCCGAGAUGAGUUCUCCCUGACUCCUUGAGAGUCCUGAAGGAACGUUGAAGACGACGACGUUGAUAGGCCGGGUGUGUAAGCGCAGCGAUGCGUUGAGCUAACCGGUACUAAUGAACCGUGAGGCUUAACCUU